CCUACGGGAGGCAGCAGUGGGGAAUUUUGGACAAUGGGCGCAAGCCUGAUCCAGCAAUGCCGCGUGAGUGAAGAAGGCCUUCGGGUUGUAAAGCUCUUUUGUCAGGGAAGAAACGGUGAAGGCUAAUAUCCUUUGCUAAUGACGGUACCUGAAGAAUAAGCACCGGCUAACUACGUGCCAGCAGCCGCGGUAAUACGUAGGGUGCAAGCGUUAAUCGGAAUUACUGGGCGUAAAGCGUGCGCAGGCGGUUUUGUAAGUUUGUCGUGAAAUCCCCGGGCUCAACCUGGGAAUGGCGAUGAAGACUGCAAGGCUAGAAUCUGGCAGAGGGGGGUAGAAUUCCACGUGUAGCAGUGAAAUGCGUAGAGAUGUGGAGGAACACCGAUGGCGAAGGCAGCCCCCUGGGUCAAGAUUGACGCUCAUGCACGAAAGCGUGGGGAGCAAACAGGAUUAGAUACCCUGGUAGUCCACGCCCUAAACGAUGUCUACUAGUUGUCGGGUUUUAAUUAACUUGGUAACGCAGCUAACGCGUGAAGUAGACCGCCUGGGGAGUACGGUCGCAAGAUUAAAACNCAAAGAGUAGUAGCGUGNGAGUAGCGACGAGACACGACGGAGGUUAGAGG
rnacentral:rRNA from 1 species